UACGAACUGUGCAAACGUUAUUCGGAAUCACUGGGCUUAAAGGGUGCGUAGGCGGUUUGUUAAGUAGGGUGUGAAAGCCCCCGGCUCAACCGGGGAAUUGCGCCCUAAACUGGCGGACUAGAGUGAGAUAGGGGUGUGCGGAACUUCCGGUGGAGCGGUGAAAUGUGUUGAGAUCGGAAGGAACGCCCGUGGCGAAAGCGAGGUCCUGGACGUCUACUGACGCUGAGACGCGAAAGCUAGGGGAGCGAACGGG
rnacentral:rRNA from 1 species